AAAGCAUCAUUUUUGAUCCCUUCAUUCCAAAUUUAGUCAGUGUUAAUGCUGCGCUUACAAUGGUAUGGUCACCAAACAGAGGGGCAACAGAGCUGUAACAACACAGGAAUCGUUACAAAUGUGCCUAACAAAAUGGCCAACGAUUUGGUACAAGUCUUACCUGGAAUAAAGCUUCCUUGGACAACAUCUUUGUAUGCCCACCAGCCAUCGUGAAGUUUUGAGGACACAGGCUGUGCUGUAAGAAACAAACCAAAGUCAUCAGUGGUGCACAACUGUACUGCUGCUUGAAUGAAAACCCACACAGCUUGUGCAUCUUGACUGGCUGGAUGCUCUGAUGCCAGAUGCAUUAUGGAUCUUCUGCUUCGGGCCGCUAAGCAGGAAAAGUAGGUCACCGAGGCAGCCGACUCCGGCUCUGAGAUCUCACAGUUAUCUCACAUCACGGCUCCUGCUGCUCCCUCAGGCAGCUGUGUGCACCAUACCCAGGGUUCCUCUGGAGCACUUCAGCCAACAGUCCCAUACCCCACCCAGUCUACACAGAGACGCCCGCCCCACUGCCCACACCAGACGGAGUGGUGCACGGCUUAAACUGCAUUUUCAGUGGGCCAAGCUGCUCUCUAGUGAGCUUCUCUCACAGAAAUCUCCAGUGUUCUAUUAAAAUUCUGUUU